rnacentral:rRNA from 1 species
UGAAUACGAGAUGCUACGGCAUCGAAGCAGUCUAUGUCAUACUUCCAAGAAAAGCUUGCACUGUCAUAAACAAAUAAUGCCUGUACCAUAACCGACACAGGUGGGUAGGUAGAGUAUACUAGGGGGCGCGAGAUAACUCUCUCUAAGGAACUCGGCAAAAUGACUCCGUAACUUCGGGAGAAGGAGUGCCUUAUUUUAUAAGGUUGCAAUAACAAGAUCCAAGCAACUGUUUACCAAAAACACAGGUCUCCGCUAAGUCGUAAGACGAUGUAUGGGGGCUGACGCCUGCCCAGUGCCAGAAGGUUAAAGAAGUUGGUUAGCAUUAGCGAAGCUGAUAACUGAAGCCCUGGUGAACGGCGGCCGUAACUAUAACGGUCCUAAGGUAGCGAAAUUCCUUGUCGGGUAAGUUCCGACCCGCACGAAAGGCGUAAUGAUUUGGAUACUGUCUCGGAGAGGGGCUCGGUGAAAUAGACUUGUCUGUGAAGAUGCGGACUACCUGCACCAGGACAGAAAGACCCUAUGAAGCUUUACUGUAACUUGAGAUUGAAAUUGGACUUUAUUUGCGCAGUAUAGGUGGGAGACUUUGAAAAUAUUCUUGCGGGAAUAUUGGAGUCAUCAGUGAGAUACCACUCUUAUAAUGUUAGAUUUCUAACUUUGUAUCAUUAUCUGGUCAAAGAACAGUCUCAGGCGGGCAGUUUGACUGGGGCGGUCGCCUCCCAAACGGUAACGGAGGCGCACAAAGGUUUCCUCUGAACGUGUAGAAAUCGUAUCUAGAGUGUAAAGGCAUAAGGAAGCUUGACUGUGAGACCUACAAGUCGAGCAGGGACGAAAGUCGGUCUUAGUGAUCUGACGGUGCUGAGUGGAAAGGCCGUCACUCAACGGAUAAAAGUUACUCUAGGAUAACAGGCUGAUCUCCCCCAAGAGUUCACAUCGACGGGGAGGUUUGGCACCUCGAUGUCGGCUCAUCGCAUCCUGGGGCGGUAGUACGUCCCAAGGGUUGGGCUGUUCGCCCAUGAAAGCGGUACGCGAGCUGGGUUCAGAACGUCGUGAGACAGUUCGGUCCAUAUCCGGUGUAGGCGUUAGAAUAUUGAGAGGAGCCUUCUUUAGUACGAGAGGACCGAGAAGGACAUACCUCUGGUGUACCAGUUAUCGUGCCAACGGUAAACGCUGGGUAGCUAUGUAUGGAGAGGAUAACCGCUGAAAGCAUCUAAGUGGGAAGCCCACCUCAAGAUAAG